rnacentral:rRNA from 1 species
ACCCAGACUCCUACGGGAGGCAGCAGUGGGGAAUAUUGGGCAAUGGGCGCAAGCCUGACCCAGCAACGCCGCGUGAAGGAAGAAGGCCUUCGGGUCGUAAACUUCUGUCCUUGGGGAAGAAGAACUGACGGUACCCAAGGAGGAAGCCCCGGCUAACUACGUGCCAGCAGCCGCGGUAAUACGUAGGGGGCAAGCGUUAUCCGGAAUUAUUGGGCGUAAAGAGUACGUAGGUGGCAACCUAAGCGCAGGGUUUAAGGCAAUGGCUCAACCAUUGUUCGCCCUGCGAACUGGGAUGCUUGAGUGCAGGAGAGGAAAGCGGAAUUCCUAGUGUAGCGGUGAAAUGCGUAGAUAUUAGGAGGAACACCAGUGGCGAAGGCGGUCUGCUGGACAGCAACUGACGGUGAGGCGCGAAAGCGUGGGGAGCAAACAGGAUUAGAUACCCCCGUACUG